rnacentral:tRNA from 1 species
GCGACACUAGCUCAGUUGGUAGAGCGCAACCUUGCCAAGGUUGAGG